rnacentral:tRNA from 1 species
GAAAUAUCCAUAAAGAGGUCUUCUAAACCAAUUAAUAGUGUCUACAUUAAUAUUUCU